ensembl:lncRNA
CAUUUCUGGGAUAUUUUAUUUCAGCUCGUGAAACAUGGGACCAACACUUUUCAUGUUGCGUUUAUAUUUUUGUUCAGUAUAGUUUCUUCUCACACAUACAGAAGCAAAAUGCUUUCACAUUUUGGUAUCUUUUUGUCAUUCAAAACAUGUUCAAGCAAUGGAAAAUCAGACAUUAAAAGGGUUGCAACAUUUGUUUUAAUAUAUAUAUAUAUAUCUUACAGUUUCCACAACUUUCACUUGUACACAUUUCCAAUAUUUGUUAAUGCAUUUUUGUUGUUGUUUAUGUAUUCUUGUGUCAUGUUCCGUUGAAGCGUAUCAGUUUCGUGUCACUCAUUCAUAUCGUCGGUCAAGUCAAGUCACAGUACAAGAUGGGUUAUCAAAAAGCUAAAAAAAAUAAACAAAAAUAAAAAAUAAUAAAAAGUAAGAUAUUUGUUUUUAGAAAUAAAUACAUUGCGAAAGAUAAAAUGAGAGGAUCAAAGAGUAUACACCAAGACUGGUCAGUUAUGACAUGUGAAAAAUACUUUACAAACGUGUUUGCAUUGUAAACAAUUGUAGAACAGAGAGCAUUAUUUUGACAAAGCUGAGCACUAAAAGGUGUGGCUUGAGAUUUUCGGAGAUAUACACAUUUACAGGAUCUAGGACGGACGACAAGAAAAGUCCCAUUUAAAUGUUAUCUUUAUUCUUUUUUCAAAUCUUUGCCUAGGGGUAGGAGUUAUUCCUGACCAUAGGGCCUGACAGGGAAACACUAUAGCAAAUAACUACAACCCAGUAGGCCCUCCCAAAUGGCACCCUAUUCCCUAUAUAGUGCACUACUUUUGAUCCCCAAAUGGCACCCCAUUCCAUAUAUAGUGCACUACUUUUGACCAUGGCCAAUAGGAUUCUGGUCAAAAGUAGUGCACUAUAUAGGGCCCUCAAACUCAACGCUGGACCUCGAAGCCAGUUUCACUGCACUAUUUCAUUGUUCCCUUCUAAUAGGGACUGAUUUAGACCUGGGACACCAGAUGUGCGAUUCCCCUCUAAUCAGGGACUGAUUUAGACCUGGGACACCAGGUGGGUGAUUCCCCUCUAAUCAGGGCCUGAUUUAGACCUGGGACACCAGGUGGGUGAUUCCCCUCUAGUCAGGGACUGAUUUAGACCUGGGACACCAGAUGUGUGCAAUUAAUUAUCAAGUAGAAGAGAAAAUACCCCUGCUAUAGGGAAUAUUUCUGCCAUUUGGGACACAGUCAUUUUAGUAAAUAAACACUUUUAACACUUUCUUCUUAAAACUGGUUGAGGGCUUGAAAAGCAUUUCACUGUAAGAUCUACACCUGGUGUAUUGGACAAUGGUCUCAAAUAACAUUUGAUUUUCUCCUGGUCAAGGAAAAACCUCCUGUCCCUUCUACUAUUGCCAUAUGAAGCAUUUCAGCACUUUGCAGAAAUCAUUAGGCAUGUGUCGGAUUCAUUCAGCUCUGUUAAUUGCACUGAAGCGGGAGAAGGGAGGAAGGAAAGAAGGUUCUGUCCCAAAUGACAUGUCUAUUCCUUAUUUACUGCACUACUUUUCACCAGAGCCCCAUGGACCCCUGUUCUAAAAGUAGGAACGUUAGAUAGGAAAUAGGAUGCACUUUUGGGAGCAGUCUUAAAUGAAUCCCUGGGGAUGGUUGACUUUUAGAGAAGAUUCUAUUGCAGCUCUGAUUGGUUGGUUCAUUCUCAGCCAAGGAUGUAGCUUCUGAUUCAUUGUGCUAAAUCAAGAGAUAGCUGAAAGCUGUCUCUGGACAAGUGAUUGGUUGAUUGAGUGACUGGGUCUGGACAGCCAAUAAUAAUUAUAUACCCUCCAUAUCCAAGUCAAUGUACAUGCAAUGGCAAAGCACCACAAAGUCAACAAUUUUUUUUAAUUUUUUUUUUAAAGAAGAAACAAAAAAAGUCUUCUCCAUUUUGAAUUAGCUGGUGGCUGCUUGUGGGUAGAUGGGUCGUGCAUUAUGUAGCUGUUUGUGGGUAGAUGGGUCGUGCAUUAUGUAGCCGUUUGUGGGUAGAUGGGUCGUGCAUUAUGUGGCUGUUUGUGGGUAGAUGGGUCGUGCCAACGUGGAAGUUCAAGUUGAGCAGACCAUUCAGCAGGGCACAACAGUUUAGAACAGUAAGAUAGAAAUAUGCUAUGUAGAACAAACAUGCCUCUAAAAUGUAGAAUGAAUCACGUUGGCUCCUCUAUCUGCAACGUUUAGCUACUGAACGUGGCCCUGUAUUGGCCUGGGCUCGGAGCUUUUCCAGACCAUAUUACCCGACUAAGGAAAAACUCAGGGACCUACUAAUGUGCAAUGCAGUCUGUUCUCAGCCUAAAAUUACACUUGUUGGCUCUGCCUUUCUCUAAUCAAACCCAUGUGUGGACUGGCGGUCCUGCAGUUGCAUCAGCGUGAGGUCUGAACAGUGAAAACAACACAUUCAAAUGGAAGAACAUCAUUAUUCACUUUAGACGGAUCACCAUGAUAGAAUAAAAUACUUUUUUUUUUUUUUUUGACGAUUAAAUUAUUCCUCUGUUCUGACUCAAUCCCAGUUUUUUUUUUUUUUUUUUUUGUGCAAAAGCAGUAAAGAAUGCCACUUGUUUAGAGAAACCACGGCAAGUCAUGGAACUAGAAGAUAAGGAGAAAAAAAAAAACAUCAACAGUAUUUUGCACUACAAACGUGCACAUUCAAGAAAAGAAAAGAUUAUGAUCACCAACUCAAAAUAUGUUUAAUCAACCUCAAGUCUUUAGUUGGUCAGGAUUGGCACUUCAGUGAAUAGGAGUGCAUUUUCAUUUUUCACAAUUAGAAAUAUAUAUUUAAUCCACCGAUUUGUAUAAUAUCUUACUAUUCUGGUAGUCUUUGUUGAUAGACUGCACACAAAAGUACACCCGAAAAAACAAAACAAAAACAAAGACUACUAAUAUAUAAAUGCUUCUUCACAUGUUAGUGAUGUUUCAUUCUUUUCUGGAUUUAUUUCGUCUCAAAUGUCUGGUUUUUUUUUGGGGGGGGGGGGUCACUUGUUCUGUGGACAACCAUUUCCCUUUAGACAACCAUGGUGUACAGAAUCCUAAAAUAGCCUGUAGUCUAUGACCAUUACCCGCUGCUCUAUGUCAGAUCAAUGCCAAGCUUAGUCUCUUAACAAAUUUGAAUACAUUUUGCAUGUCAACCAAAGCACAACGUGUCCAAAACCACUGCAGACCACGAGUCACCGUCACUGCAAACCAUGAAUCAUCCUCAUCAUUGCAGACCAUGAAUCAUCCUCAUCAUUGCAGACCAUAAAUCAUCCUCAUCCUGAUUGCAGACCAUAAAUCAUCCUCAUCCUCAUUGCAGACCAUGAAUCAUCCUCCUCAUUGCAGACCAUGAAUCAUCCUCAUUAUUGCAGACCAUAAAUCAUCCUCAUUAUUGCAGACCAUAAAUCAUCCUCAUCAUUGCAGACCAUAAAUCAUCCUCAUCAUUGCAGACCAUAAAUCAUCCUCAUCAUUGCAGACCAUAAAUCAUC